AGAUUCACUUUAAAAUAACCCUAACUCCACCAAAUUUACCCCAAAUAUCUACUAAAAGCACUUUCUCCACUUCCCCUUUUGCCGGCCCAGCUCAAAUUCGAUUACUAUCAGCUCUGAUCAGCCUAUUCCAAACCGAAUGAAUAAGGAACUACAAGAUAUAUGGGCUAAGAAAGAUGGUGCAAAAGGUGUGUUACACCUUCACCGCGGUACUGAGAACAAAGUGUACCCUUGCGGUUGAGACAUGUCUUUAAGGGUCCUGGGAAGUUCAAGGGUUUUUUAGGUGAAGGCUGGAGUGAGUUUGUCACCUCUAACAAGUUACGCGUUCUCGACCACAUUGAGUUACUGUUAGAGGACAAGGAUGAAAUGUUGUAUCGGGUUAGGAUUUGGGGUUCCGAAAAAGAAAUUACAGUUGUUGAUCCUCGUGUAAUCAUAGAGAAUGACGAUGCAAUAAGUGAUGCCGACUCAACAGAGUAUGUGCCCACGGAGCUUUUUUUUAAGCCACCCUCCUUCAAAUUCACAUUCACCAAAGGUUACAUUGACAAACCAAAGAUCGUAAUACUCAUAUCAUCACUGUUUAUAGGAAAUUAUUAUUAUCUGUUACAGAUUAUCAAUGUUAUCAUAUCUUGGUUAAUAAUGUUUAUGCUAUCUUAUUAUUUUUGUUUAUCAUAUCUUAUUUGUUGGUGUAUAACUAUUCUAUCUUAUUUUGAUGUUGAAUGUGGUACAGAACAUUUCGGUACCCUUUGCCCGAGAACAUUUCCAAGGUCUUAAAGACCCCACUGCUGUUGUACUGUAUGUCCAUCGGAAAUGGCAUGCAACAAUGCGCUUUAAGUUCGGACAACAACAAGAAGAUUGUAGAGUGCUCUAUCCGAAAAGGAGUUUCAGAAAUGUAUGCGGGUGAAGAGAUUGAACUCAGUGAAAAGGUUCUUGUUGAAUUAGAAGUUAUAGAACCACCGCUAUUAAACAUUACAUUCACUUGAUCCUUUCAAGUUAGCAAAGUGACGUGGUUGUGGUUUUAAUCAAUUGCUCGUCUAGUUUCAAAUUUAUGACUAUAUGGAUCACUGACUUUUGUUUGUGUAUUUUGAAUACAUGAUCCUUGGACUUGUUAUUAUUAAUAAUCAGUAACUCUACGGAUCAUUG